rnacentral:rRNA from 1 species
GAUGAACGCUGGCGGCGUGCUUAACACAUGCAAGUCGAACGAUGAAGCCCAGCUUGCUGGGUGGAUUAGUGGCGAACGGGUGAGUAACACGUGAGUAACCUGCCCUUGACUCUGGGAUAAGCCCGGGAAACUGGGUCUAAUACCGGAUAGGAGCGCCUGUCGCAUGACGGGUGUUGGAAAGAUUUUUCGGUCAUGGAUGGACUCGCGGCCUAUCAGCUUGUUGGUGAGGUAAUGGCUCACCAAGGCGACGACGGGUAGCCGGCCUGAGAGGGUGACCGGCCACACUGGGACUGAGACACGGCCCAGACUCCUACGGGAGGCAGCAGUGGGGAAUAUUGCACAAUGGGCGGAAGCCUGAUGCAGCGACGCCGCGUGAGGGAUGACGGCCUUCGGGUUGUAAACCUCUUUCAGUGGGGAAGAAGCGAAAGUGACGGUACCUGCAGAAGAAGCACCGGCUAACUACGUG